rnacentral:rRNA from 1 species
AUAAGCGCAAGUCAGUAGCACGUGGCUAACCUACCUUCGGACCGAAAAAAACUGGGAAACUGGGGCUAAUUUCCGAUAGGUGAAAACUCCUGGAAUGGAUUAUCGCUCAAAAGUGCGCUUAGAGCAUGCUUCUAAGUUGCCCAAUGAUGGGGCCGCGGCCGAUCAGGUUGUUGGUGAGGUAAUGGCUCACCAAGCCUUUAACCGGUGCGGGCCGUGGGAGCGGGAGCCCGGAGAUGGGCACUGAGACAAGGGCCCAGGCCCUACGGGGCGCAGCAGUCGCGAAAAUAUCGCAAUAAGCGAAAGCUUGACGGAGCUAUCCCGAGUGCCAUCCGCUGAGGAUGGCUUUUCCCUAGUAUAGAUAGCUGGGGGAAUAAGGAGAGGGCAAGUCUGGUGUCAGCCGCCGCGGUAAUACCAGCUCUCCGAGUGGUGGGGAUGAUUAUUGGGCCUAAAGCAUCCGUAGCCGGCUGGGCAAGUCCCCUGUUAAACCCAACGAUUUAAUCGUUGGUCUGCGGGGUAUACUGCUUGGCUAGGGGGCGAGAGAGGCCGUCGGUAUUCCCGGGGUAGGGGUGAAAUCCUAUAAUCCCGGGAGGACCACCAGUGGCGAAGGCUGUCGGCUAGAACGCGCCCGACGGUGAGGGAUGAAAGCCGGGGGAGCGAACCGGAUUAGAUACCCGGGUAGUCCCAGCUGUAAACGAUGCAGGCUAGGUGUUAGGCAGGCCACGUGCCGCUCUAGUGCCGCAGGGAAGCUGUUAAGCCUGCCGCCUGGGAGAACGGCUGCAAGCUGAAUUAAAGGCCA